rnacentral:rRNA from 1 species
AGAACGAACGCUGGCGGCAUGCCUAAUACAUGCAAGUCGAACGAACUCUUCGGAGUUAGUGGCGCACGGGUGCGUAACGCGUGGGAAUCUGCCCUUGGGUUCGGAAUAACAGUUGGAAACGACUGCUAAUACCGGAUGAUGACGAAAGUCCAAAGAUUUAUCGCCCAGGGAUGAGCCCGCGUAGGAUUAGCUAGUUGGUGAGGUAAAGGCUCACCAAGGCGACGAUCCUUAGCUGGUCUGAGAGGAUGAUCAGCCACACUGGGACUGAGACACGGCCCAGACUCCUACGGGAGGCAGCAGUAGGGAAUAUUGGACAAGUGGGCGAAAGCCUGACU